AUUGAACGCUGGCGGCAUGCCUUACACAUGCAAGUCGAACGGUAACGGGCCUUCGGGUGCCGACGAGUGGCGAACGGGUGAGUAAUGCAUCGGAACGUACCUUUCAGUGGGGGAUAACGUAGCGAAAGUUACGCUAAUACCGCACAUUCCGUGAGCAGGAAAGCAGGGGAUCGCAAGACCUUGCGCCGAUUGAGCUGCGGUUGUCAGAUUAGCUAGGUGGUGAGGUAAAGGCUCACCAAGGCGACGAUCUGUAGCGGGUCUGAGAGAAUGAUCCGCCACACUGGGACUGAGACACGGCCCAGACUCCUACGGGAGGCAGCAGUGGGGAAUUUUGGACAAUGGGGGCAACCCUGAUCCAGCCAUGCCGCGUGAGUGAAGAAGGCCUUCGGGUUGUAAAGCUCUUUCGGCCGGGAAGAAAUCGCACAGGCUAAUACCUUGUGUGGAUGACGGUACCGGAAUAAGAAGCACCGGCUAACUACGUGCCAGCCGCCGCGGUAAAAC
rnacentral:rRNA from 1 species